CGAUGUGGGGACGGAUCUUAAUAGGUCAUCCGGGUGUUGGGUAUCCCGGUUUAGUUGGAAGUAGGCGAUGGGUAGGCAAAUCCGCCCGUCAUAUACCGAGGCCAACGAUCGAGCCAGCUUGCUGGUGAAGUGACUGAACGAGGCUCCAGGAAAAGCCACUAAGCUUCAGCUAUACACGACCGUACCGCAAACCGACACUGGUGCGCGAGAUGAGUAUUCUAAGGCGCUUGAGAGAACUCAGGAGAAGGAACUCGGCAAAUUGACACCGUAACUUCGGAAGAAGGUGUGCCCUAUUAGUGUGAAGUGAACAACGGAGCAUGAAUGGGUUGCAAAAAAUCGGUGGCUGCGACUGUUUAUUAAAAACACAGCACUCUGCAAACACGAAAGUGGACGUAUAGGGUGUGACGCCUGCCCGGUGCUGGAAGAUUAAAUGAUGGGGUGCAAGCUCUUGAUUGAAGUCCCAGUAAACGGCGGCCGUAACAAUAACGGUCCUAAGGUAGCGAAAUUCCUUGUCGGGUAAGUUCCGACCUGCACGAAUGGCGUAACGAUGGCCACACUGUCUCCUCCUGAGACUCAGCGAAGUUGAAAUGUUUGUGAUGAUGCAAUCUCCCCGCGGAAAGACGGAAAGACCCCAUGAACCUUUACUGUAGCUUUGUAUUGGACUUUGAACAUAUCUGUGUAGGAUAGGUGGGAGGCUUUGAAGCAGGGUCGCUAGAUCUUGUGGAGCCAACGUUGAAAUACCACCCUGGUGUGUUUGAGGUUCUAACCUAGGUCCAUUAUCUGGAUCGGGGACAGUGCAUGGUAGGCAGUUUGACUGGGGCGGUCUCCUCCCAAAGCGUAACGGAGGAGUUCGAAGGUACGCUAGUUACGGUCGGACAUCGUGACGAUAGUGCAAUGGCAUAAGCGUGCUUAACUGCGAGACUGACAAGUCGAGCAGAUGCGAAAGCAGGACAUAGUGAUCCGGUGGUUCUGUAUGGAAGGGCCAUCGCUCAACGGAUAAAAGGUACUCUGGGGAUAACAGGCUGAUACCGCCCAAGAGUUCAUAUCGACGGCGGUGUUUGGCACCUCGAUGUCGGCUCAUCUCAUCCUGGGGCUGUAGCCGGUCCCAAGGGUAUGGCUGUUCGCCAUUUAAAGAGGUACGUGAGCUGGGUUUAAAACGUCGUGAGACAGUUUGGUCCCUAUCUUCCGUGGGCGCUGCAGAUUUGAGGAAGCCUGCUCCUAGUACGAGAGGACCGGAGUGGACACACCUCUGGUGUAUCGGUUGUCACGCCAGUGGCAUUGCCGAGUAGCUAAGUGUGGAAGAGAUAACCGCUGAAAGCAUCUAAGCGGGAAACUCGUUUCAAGAUGAGAUCUGCCGGGGCCUUGAGCCCCCUGAAGAGUCGUUCAAGACCAGGACGUUGAUAGGUCAGGUGUGGAAGCGCAGUAAUGCGUUAAGCUAACUGAUACUAAUUGCUCGUGCGGCUUGACCCU
rnacentral:rRNA from 1 species